GGUGUUGUGGCUCAGUGGUAGAGCACACUUGCCUCACAUGUGUGGGGCAUGUGGUUCGAUCCUCACCACCA
rnacentral:tRNA from 1 species